UACGUAGGGUCCGAGCGUUGUCCGGAAUUACUGGGCGUAAAGAGCUCGUAGGUGGUUUGUCGCGUUGUUCGUGAAAACUCACAGCUCAACUGUGGGCGUGCGGGCGAUACGGGCAGACUUGAGUACUGCAGGGGAGACUGGAAUUCCUGGUGUAGCGGUGGAAUGCGCAGAUAUCAGGAAGAACACCGGUGGCGAAGGCGGCUCUCUGGGCCUUACCUGACGCUGAGGAGCGAAAGCGUGGGUAGCGAACAGG
rnacentral:rRNA from 1 species